GACGAACGCUGGCGGCGUGCCUAAUACAUGCAAGUUGAGCGCUGAAGGUUGGUACUUGUACCGACUGGAUGAGCAGCGAACGGGUGAGUAACGCGUGGGGAAUCUGCCUUUGAGCGGGGGACAACAUUUGGAAACGAAUGCUAAUACCGCAUAAAAACUUUAAACACAAGUUUUAAGUUUGAAAGAUGCAAUUGCAUCACUCAAAGAUGAUCCCGCGUUGUAUUAGCUAGUUGGUGAGGUAAAGGCUCACCAAGGCGAUGAUACAUAGCCGACCUGAGAGGGUGAUCGGCCACAAUGGGAAUGAGACACGGCCCAAAAUCCUAAGGGAGGCAGCAGGAGGGAAUCAUCGGCAAUGGACGAAAGUCUGACCGAGCAACGACGCGGGAGGGAAGAAGGGUGUCGGAUCGGAAAACUCUGUUGGUAGAGAAGAAAGGUGGUGAGAGUGGAAAGCUCAUCAAGUGACGGUAACUACCCAGAAAGGGACGGCUAACUACGUG
rnacentral:rRNA from 1 species